GAUGAACGCUGGCGGCGUGCUUAACACAUGCGAGUCGAACGGAAAGGCCCAAGCUUGCUUGGGUACUCGAGUGGCGAACGGGUGAGUAACACGUGGGUGAUCUGCCCUGCACUUCGGGAUAAGCCUGGGAAACUGGGUCUAAUACCGGAUAGGACCACAUUUUGGAUGGUGUGGUGGAAAGUUUUUCGGUGUGGGAUGAGCUCGCGGCCUAUCAGCUUGUUGGUGGGGUAAUGGCCUACCAAGGCGUCGACGGGUAGCCGGCCUGAGAGGGUGUGCGGCCACAUUGGGACUGAGAUACGGCCCAGACUCCUACGGGAGGCAGCAGUGGGGAAUAUUGCACAAUGGGCGCAAGCCUGAUGCAGCGACGCCGCGUGGGGGAUGACGGCCUUCGGGUUGUAAACUCCUUUCGCUAGGGACGAAGCGUUAUGUGACGGUACCUGGAGAAGAAGCACCGGCUAACUACGUG
rnacentral:rRNA from 1 species